AUUGAACGCUGGCGGCAUGCCUUACACAUGCAAGUCGAACGGUAACGGGCCUUCGGGUGCCGACGAGUGGCGAACGGGUGAGUAAUACAUCGGAACGUGCCCGAUCGUGGGGGAUAACGAGGCGAAAGCUUUGCUAAUACCGCAUACGAUCUACGGAUGAAAGCAGGGGACCGCAAGGCCUUGCGCGGACGGAGCGGCCGAUGGCAGAUUAGGUAGUUGGUGGGAUAAAAGCUUACCAAGCCGACGGUCUGUAGCUGGUCUGAGAGGAUGAUCAGCCACACUGGGACUGAGACACGGCCCAGACUCCUACGGGAGGCAGCAGUGGGGAAUUUUGGACAAUGGGCGCAAGCCCGAUCCAGCCAUGCCGCGUGCAGGAUGAAGGCCUUCGGGUUGUAAACUGCUUUUGUACGGAACGAAAAGCCUUCUUUUAAUACAGGAGGGUCAUGACGGUACCGUAAGAAUAAGCACCGGCUAACUACGUG
rnacentral:rRNA from 1 species